rnacentral:SRP_RNA from 1 species
GCCAGGCAUGAUGGCUCAUGCCUGUAAUCCCAGCACUUUCGGAGGCCGAGACAGGUGGAUCACUUGAGGCCAGGAGAUCGAGACCAGCCUGGCCAACAUGGUGAAACCCUGUCUCUA